CCUACGGGUGGCAGCAGUGAGGAAUAUUGGUCAAUGGACGAGAGUCUGAACCAGCCAAGUAGCGUGAAGGAUGACUGCCCUAUGGGUUGUAAACUUCUUUUAUAUGGGAAUAAAACGUUCCACGUGUGGGAUUUUGUAUGUACCAUAUGAAUAAGGAUCGGCUAACUCCGUGCCAGCAGCCGCGGUAAUACGGAGGAUCCGAGCGUUAUCCGGAUUUAUUGGGUUUAAAGGGAGCGUAGGUGGAUUGUUAAGUCAGUUGUGAAAGUUUGCGGCUCAACCGUAAAAUUGCAGUUGAAACUGGCAGUCUUGAGUACAGUAGAGGUGGGCGGAAUUCGUGGUGUAGCGGUGAAAUGCUUAGAUAUCACGAAGAACUCCGAUUGCGAAGGCAGUUCACUGGACUGCAACUGAUACUGAGGCUCGAAAGUGUGGGUAUCAAACAGGAUUAGAUACCCUAGUAGUC
rnacentral:rRNA from 1 species